UUAAUUGGGCGUUAAGUUGCAGGGUAUAGACCCGAAACCCGGUGAUCUAGCCAUGGGCAGGUUGAAGGUUGGGUAACACUAACUGGAGGACCGAACCGACUAAUGUUGAAAAAUUAGCGGAUGACCUGUGGCUGGGGGUGAAAGGCCAAUCAAACCGGGAGAUAGCUGGUUCUCCCCGAAAGCUAUUUAGGUAGCGCCUCGUGAAUUCAUCUCCGGGGGUAGAGCACUGUUUCGGCUAGGGGGCCAUCCCGGCUUACCAACCCGAUGCAAACUGCGAAUACCGGAGAAUGUUAUCACGGGAGACACACGGCGGGUGCUAACGUCCGUCGUGAAGAGGGAAACAACCCAGACCGCCAGCUAAGGUCCCAAAGUCAUGGUUAAGUGGGAAACGAUGUGGGAAGGCCCAGACAGCCAGGAUGUUGGCUUAGAAGCAGCCAUCAUUUAAAGAAAGCGUAAUAGCUCACUGGUCGAGUCGGCCUGCGCGGAAGAUGUAACGGGGCUAAACCAUGCACCGAAGCUGCGGCAGCGACGCUUAUGCGUUGUUGGGUAGGGGAGCGUUCUGUAAGCCUGUGAAGGUGUGCUGUGAGGCAUGCUGGAGGUAUCAGAAGUGCGAAUGCUGACAUAAGUAACGAUAAAGCGGGUGAAAAGCCCGCUCGCCGGAAGACCAAGGGUUCCUGUCCAACGUUAAUCGGGGCAGGGUGAGUCGACCCCUAAGGCGAGGCCGAAAGGCGUAGUCGAUGGGAAACGGGUUAAUAUUCCCGUACUUGGUGUUACUGCGAAGGGGGGACGGAGAAGGCUAUGUUGGCCGGGCGACGGUUGUCCCGGUUUAAGCGUGUAGGUGUGUGUUCCAGGUAAAUCCGGUUCACUUUAACACUGAGGCGUGAUGACGAGGCACUACGGUGCUGAAGCAACAAAUGCCCUGCUUCCAGGAAAAGCCUCUAAGCAUCAGGUAACAUCAAAUCGUACCCCAAACCGACACAGGUGGUCAGGUAGAGAAUACCAAGGCGCUUGAGAGAACUCGGGUGAAGGAACUAGGCAAAAUGGUGCCGUAACUUCGGGAGAAGGCACGCUGACACGUAGGUGAAGUGAUUUACUCACGGAGCUGAAGUCAGUCGAAGAUACCAGCUGGCUGCAACUGUUUAUUAAAAACACAGCACUGUGCAAACACGAAAGUGGACGUAUACGGUGUGACGCCUGCCCGGUGCCGGAAGGUUAAUUGAUGGGGUCAGCGCAAGCGAAGCUCCUGAUCGAAGCCCCGGUAAACGGCGGCCGUAACUAUAACGGUCCUAAGGUAGCGAAAUUCCUUGUCGGGUAAGUUCCGACCUGCACGAAUGGCGUAAUGAUGGCCAGGCUGUCUCCACCCGAGACUCAGUGAAAUUGAACUCGCUGUGAAGAUGCAGUGUACCCGCGGCAAGACGGAAAGACCCCGUGAACCUUUACUAUAGCUUGACACUGAACAUUGAGCCUUGAUGUGUAG
rnacentral:rRNA from 1 species